rnacentral:ncRNA from 1 species
GGCGACUGUUUACUAAAAACACAGGUCUCCGCAAAGUCCUAAGACCAUGUAUGGGGGUUGACGCCUGCCUAGUGCCGGAAGGUCAAGGAAGUUGAUGACCUGAUGAAUGGGGAGCCGGCAACUGAAGCCUCGGUGGACGGCGGCCGUAAGUAUAACAGUUCUAAGGUAGUGAAAUUCCUUAUCGUGUAAGUUCCGACCUGCACGAAAGGCGUAAUGAUC